AGCCGAAUAUUUCUCUCUC
rnacentral:snRNA from 1 species